rnacentral:rRNA from 1 species
AUCGAACGCUGGCGGCAGGCUUAACACAUGCAAGUCGAGCGCCCCGCAAGGGGAGCGGCAGACGGGUGAGUAACGCGUGGGAAUCUACCUAUAACUGGGGAAUAGCCUUCCGAAAGGAAGAUUAAUACCGCAUAAUAUCACGAGGCGGCAUCGUUUUGUGAUCAAAUCUCCGGAGGUUAUAGAUGAGCAUGCGUGACAUUAGCUAGUUGGUGAGGUAACGGCUCACCAAGGCGACGAUGUCUAGGGGGUCUGAGAGGAUGAUCCCCCACACUGGUACUGAGACACGGACCAGACUCCUACGGGAGGCAGCAGUAAGGAAUAUUGGACAAUGGCCGCAAGGCUGAUCCAGCCAUGCCGCGUGCAGGAUGAAGGUGCUCUGCAUUGUAAACUGCUUUUGUUCGGGAAUAAACCCCUCUACGUGUAGAGGGCUGAAUGUACCGAAAGAAUAAGGGACGGCUAACUU